rnacentral:lncRNA from 1 species
UCGUCGUCGUCCGAAUACUUUUAGUUUUCGCACUCUAACUUAAGUAAAAGUGAAUAGAAAUCAAUGAAAUUUUAACACAAGGUUUAUGACCAUAAAAGGAAGGUUGGGAUUGAUUUUAGGAGUUUUGGUCCCAACAUUUUAGGAAUUAGGGGCCAAAAAGGGCCCAAAUAAGCAUUUUCUUAGUUUUCGCACUAUAACUUUAGUUUAAGUGAAUAGAAAUCUAUGAAAUUUUGACACAAGGUUUAUGACCACAAAAGGAAGGUUGGGAUUGAUUUUGGGAGUUUUGGUUCUAACAGUUUAGGAAAUAAGGGCCAAAAAAGGGCCCAAAUAAGCAUUAUUCUUGGUUUUCGCACAAUAAUUUUAGUAUAAGUAAAUAGAAAUCAAUGAAAUUUUAACACAAGGUUUAUGACCACAAAAGGAAGGUUGGGAUUGAUUUUUGGAGUUGAGGUCACAAACAGUUUAUGAAUUAGGGGCCAAAAAGGGGCCCAAAUAAGCAUUAUUUUUGGUUUUUGCACCAUAACUUUAGUAUAAGUAAAUAGAAAUCUAUGAAAUUUAAACACAAGGUUUAUGACCAUAAAAGGAAGG